rfam:Penicillium marneffei ATCC 18224 scf_1105668340960 genomic scaffold, whole genome shotgun sequence.
GGGGGAUUGGCACAGUGGUAGCGCAUCUGAUUCCAGAUUUCCUCCUUCACCGGAGGAACAUGGGACAUCCAGAAGGUCGUCGGUUCAAGUCCGGCAUCCCUCA